UAGGGAAUCUUCCACAAUGGGCGAAGGCCUGAUGGAGCAACGCCGCGUGUGUGAUGAAGGGUUUCGGCUCGUAAAACACUGUUGUAAGAGAAGAAUGACAUUGAGAGUAACUGUUCAAUGUGUGACGGUAUCUUACCAGAAAGGAACGGCUAAAUACGUACCAG
rnacentral:rRNA from 1 species